AUGAGGGAACAGGUGUGUGUGUGUGUGUGUGUGUGUGUGUGUGUGUGUGUGUGUGUGUGUGUGUGUGUGUGUGUGUGUGUGUGUGUGUGUGUGUGUCAUCCUCGAGCUUCACACACCGAUGAUUAUCAAAGGAGAGAAUCUCUGGAAAACAUCUCAGACACGAGGGGCACGACAACAUUCCAGUGGCAACCCGCUCACCUCGAGGCGAUGGCACGUUCUGAUACUGUACAUGAUGAUACUGUACAUGAUGAUACUCUACAUGAUGGUACUCUACAUGAUGGUACUCUACAUGAUGGUACUCUACAUGAUGAUACUCUACAUGAUGGUACUGUACAUGAUGAUACUGUACAUGAUGAUACUCUACAUGAUGGUACUGUACAUGAUGAUACUGUACAUGAUGAUACUCUACAUGAUGGUACUCUACAUGAUGAUACUGUACAUGAUGGUACUCUACAUGAUGAUACUGUACAUGAUGAUACUCUACAUGAUGGUACUCUACAUGAUGAUACUCUACAUGAUGAUACUCUACAUGACGGUACUGUACGUGAUACUGUUCAUGAUGAUACUCUACAUGAUGAUACUCUACAUGAUACUGUACAUGAUACUGUUCAUGAUGAUACUCUACAUGAUGGUACUCUACAUGAUGAUACACUACAUGAUGAUACUGUACAUGAUACUGUACAUGAUGGUACUCUACAUGAUGAUACUGUACAUGAUGAUACUCUACAUGAUGGUACUGUACAUGAUGAUACUCUACAUGAUGAUACUGUACAUGAUACUCUACAUGAUGGUACUGUACAUGAUGGUACUGUACAUGACGGUACUGUACGUGAUACUGUUCAUGAUGAUACUGUACAUGAUGGUACUCUACAUGAUGAUACUCUACAUGAUGAUACUGUACAUGAUGGUACUCUACAUGAUGAUACUCUACAUGAUGGUACUGUACAUGAUGGUACUGUACAUGACGGUACUGUACGUGAUACUGUUCAUGAUGAUACUCUACAUGAUGGUACUCUACAUGAUGAUACACUACAUGAUGAUACUCUACAUGAUGAUACUGUACAUGAUACUGUAACUGUAACAGCAGCAGCGCCUGCAGGCGUCCAACGCGCCACGUGUCCACCGGGCUCAGCCCGACCGCCACCAUCUGCCUCCAAGACGAGACUGGCAGCGGUCCUCGUGGUGAAGUACAGCUGGGAGGUUCAGCAGCUGUUAAAGGAGUGUGUGUGUGUGUGUGUGUGUGUGUGUGUUGUUACUGUACGUGAAGAGGAGGAUGGUGGAUUUGAGGGUGGAUGA
rnacentral:lncRNA from 1 species